UACGGAGGAUCCGAGCGUUAUCCGGAUUUAUUGGGUUUAAAGGGAGCGUAGGCGGCAGGGCAAGCCUGAUGUGAAAGCCCGGGGCUCAACCCCGGGACUGCAUUGGGAACUGCCCCGCUCGAGUGCCGGAGGGGCAGGCGGAAUUCCGUGUGUAGCGGUGAAAUGCGUAGAUAUACGGAGGAACACCAGUGGCGAAGGCGGCCUGCUGGACAAUAACUGACGCUGAGGCGCGAAAGCGUGGGGAGCAAACAGG
rnacentral:rRNA from 1 species